rnacentral:rRNA from 1 species
GACGAACGCUGGCGGCGUGCUUAACACAUGCAAGUCGAACGGAAAGGCCCUGCUUUUGUGGGGUGCUCGAGUGGCGAACGGGUGAGUAACACGUGAGUAACCUGCCCUUGACUUUGGGAUAACUCCAGGAAACUGGGGCUAUACCGGAUAGGAGCUCCUGCUGCAUGGUGGGGGUUGGAAAGUUUCGGCGGUUGGGGAUGGACUCGCGGCUUAUCAGCUUGUUGGUGGGGUAGUGGCUUACCAAGGCUUUGACGGGUAGCCGGCCUGAGAGGGUGACCGGCCACAUUGGGACUGAGAUACGGCCCAGACUCCUACGGGAGGCAGCAGUGGGGAAUAUUGCACAAUGGGCGGAAGCCUGAUGCAGCAACGCCGCGUGCGGGAUGACGGCCUUCGGGUUGUAAACCGCUUUCGCCUGUGACGAAGCGUGAGUGACGGUAAUGGGUAAAGAAGCACCGGCUAACUACGUG